GCAGAACGCGAAGAACCUUACCUAGGCUUGACAUGCUAGAGAAAGUCCUGUGAAAGCAGGGCCCUCCUUCGGGACUCUAGCACAGGUGCUGCAUGGCUGUCGUCAGCUCGUGUCGUGAGAUGUUGGGUUAAGUCCCGCAACGAGCGCAACCCUCAUCCUUUGUUGCUAACAGGUAAUGCUGAGAACUCUAAGGAAACUGCCGGAGUUAAUCCGGAGGAAGGUGGGGAUGACGUCAAGUCCUCAUGGCCCUUACGGCCUGGGCUACACACGUGUUACAAUGGCAGUGACAAUCGGAAGCUACCCUGCGAGGGGACGCAAAUCUGAGAAAGCUGCCUCAGUUCGGAUUGUACUCUGCAACUCGAGUACAUGAAGUUGGAAUCGCUAGUAAUCGUAGAUCAGCAUGCUACGGUGAAUACGUUCCCGGGUCUUGUACACACCG
rnacentral:rRNA from 1 species